CUGACGCGGAAACCAAGGAUCUUUUCCUCAACUUUUUGGUCACCAAGGUGCUUCCAACUUCUGCUAAACUCAAGUAAUCAAAAAGGUUUGUCAAGACACCCUUGAAACACCUUUUCAAUUGAACUUUAGAACAGAAACCUAAACGCAAUUGACAAAACUUUCAAAGACGUUUUGAAUAGGAAGAAAUCAAUUUUGUUUAUUAAGUUUAAAGCUUAAUUAAACAGGUUGAAACACCUUGGCACAUGAUUAAGAA
rnacentral:lncRNA from 1 species